GACGAACGCUGGCGGCGCGCUUAACACAUGCAAGUCGAACGGAAAGGCCUGCUUUCCCUUGUGGAUUGCGGGUACUCGAGUGGCGAACGGGUGAGUAACACGUGAGUGAUCUGCCCCCAACUUGGGUAUAAGCCUGGGAAACUGGGUCUAAUUCCCGAUAGGACUGCAGGGUGGUGCCUGUGGUGGAAAACGAUUUUCUAGUGGUUGGGGAUGAGCUCGCGGCCUAUCAGCUUGUUGGUGGGGUAAUGGCCUACCAAGGCGGCGACGGGUAGCCGGCCUGAGAGGGUGGACGGCCACAUUGGGACUGGGAUACGGCCCAGACUCCUACGGGAGGCAGCAGUGGGGAAUAUUGCACAAUGGGCGGAAGCCUGAUGCAGCGAUGCCGCGUGGGGGAUGACGGCCUUCGGGUUGUAAACUCCUUUCGACCGCGAGGAAGCCACCUGGUUGGAAGGGUGGUGACGGUAGUGGUAGAAGAAGCACCGGCUAACUACGUG
rnacentral:rRNA from 1 species